rnacentral:rRNA from 1 species
UGGGGAAUAUUGGACAAUGGGGGCAACCCUGAUCCAGCGAUGCCGCGUGUGCGAAGAAGGCCUGCGGGUUGUAAAGCACUUUGGUUGGGGAAGAAGGUUGGGCGUUGAAUAGAUGCCUGAAUUGACGUUACCCAAAGAACAAGCACCGGCUAACUCUGUGCCAGCAGCCGCGGUAAUACAGAGGGUGCGAGCGUUAAUCGGAAUCACUGGGCGUAAAGCGUGCGCAGGCGGCCGCGCAAGUCAGGUGUGAAAUCCCCGGGCUUAACCUGGGAAUUGCGCUUGAAACUAUGCGGCUAGAGUGUGGCAGAGGGGGGUGGAAUUCCACGUGUAGCAGUGAAAUGCGUAGAGAUGUGGAGGAACACCGAUGGCGAAGGCAGCCCCCUGGGCCAACACUGACGCUCAGGCACGAAAGCGUGGGGAGCAAACAGGAUUAGAUACCCAAGUAGUCCCUGAGCGGGCUGGCAAGGCG